ensembl:lncRNA
CGGGGCCGGUGGCAUCUCCCUCCGUGAUGCCUUAGCGGCAUCCCGGGGCACGCAGUAGCAGCGGCGGGCGCAGGUUGGCCAGGGGCCGGGCCCGGCGCGACCUCAGGGUUCUCCUUUGGCGGCGGCAGUGGCGGCGGCGGCGGCGGCGGCAGAGGCUGCGGGCGGCAGCCCCGCGCGGGCAGCAUCAGAACUGGUCGGUGAUUUAGGUAGUUUCCUGUUGUUGGGAUCCAGCUUUCUCUCGACAGCACGACACUGCCUUCAUUACUUCAGUUGAAAUCGUCUCCAGGUACCCGUGCGCGCGGGGGCCGGGCCGGGCUGGGCCAGGCAGGGCAUCCAGGCCCUGAUCGUGCCAGGCCUGCAGUGGCAACCUCGGCUUUUCCCACUCAGGAGCCUCGACCCUGCCUCAUUCUCAGAGCUCUGCCAGCCUGCUGGCCUCACUCCCCUCCCCACCUAGGCCUGAGCAGGUAUGGUCAGGUUAGCUGCUCCUUAGCGGACGCCGGGGGCGUGGUAGGAAUUCUGGGCCCCGAGCCAUUCAAGGUCAGGGGCGCACGCUUCCAUCCUGGGCCUACCCCGCUCCAGGCCUGCGCCUGGCCAGGGACUGCGCCAUUCUCCUGCAAGCCUGGGACACCACCAGCCCCAAUCCAGGUAGGAGAUCAGGAAAGAUCCCUUUGCCAGCUGAGACUCAGGCCAAACUAGGAGGAAGGGGGGGGGGGGGUGGUGGGAUCCUGGCGUUGCCACUUACCCUUCUGUCUGUAAGCCACUCUCUACUCCCAGGAGUUGCCUUUGACUCUCUUCUUCCUUCCUUUCCUGUCCUCCUUCCUCUUUUUUCUUUCUCUAUUCCUUCCUUCUUUCCUUCCUUCCCUUUAGUUUUCUUUCAUCGUCUCUCUGUGUUGUUUUUUUCUAUUCCCACCUCCUAUCCUCCACAACUCUUCCUUCAGGAGAGAUCCAGGGCUGGCUUUGGGAGAGCCUGAGGGGGUCUUAUUUUUCUCUGCGUGCUCAAGUGAAGGUCGGAAUCUGCCGAAGAAGGGUUCGCGUGGGGCGGCUGUUGAGGGCUGUGGAUCUGGGCCUGGUGUGCCGCUGCGCAGACAAGGCCUCGGUUACGAUCACGACCGGAUGGCGGCGGCCUUGCGUUCCUACUCCGCGGGUCUGCAAUGGCAGCCUAAGAGAGCGGAUUAGAGGGCACUCGCGGCGUUUUUGUGUGCCCACACCGAGGGCAAGGAGGCCUUCGCCAGCCUCACUGAGGACCUGAGGCUAGGACCUGGGCCGAGGCCCAGCCAGGCUCGGUGGAGCCUGGCGACGCAGAGGACUCCGUGGGGAAGCUUCUUCGGCUCUCCCGGGCCUGCCGAUCCCGGCUCGGGCUUUACCCGCGAUAAGGGAGCCCCGCUAGGGCAAACAUUGGCUGCUUGCUUGCCACUAGCUUCUAUCAGGUUCAGAGGAUGUUAGAUAUGGCAUCCUUGUGUGGAUGGGUGCUAGAGAAGGGGACCCUUCCAGCGCCAGUCUGUUUCAAAAAAUAGGGGAAGGGAUCCUAAAUUCCAGAACCGUUGGAAUACAAACUUGAGUCCUUGUUCCAAGUUGUAGUCCACCGUUGGAAGCCAGUCGGACCGUUCUCGCCACCCAGAACUGAAAAUAACCUCCAACCCUCCCUAACCACCCCAAACAAACACACACUCGCGGGCCUUCAGACUCACGCCCACCCCGCGGUGCUUCCCUUCGCAGCUGCGGCAGUGGGCCCGGGAACUGUUAUCUGAAAGGCCGGCACACCGCGUUCCCCUCAACUCCUCUGCCAUUUUCUGGACCUGAGUAUUGGAUUUGUUUUGGAGGCCGAAGUUUUAGAACUCUCAGGCGAGAAGAGGCGGUUUGUAAUUACAUGAAUUUAUUUCUUUAUGCGCACGCAAUUUUUUUCACUUCCAAAAUAAAAGCAGACACAAAAGCCUGAAUAUUCUCUCCCCAAACCUCUGGGAUGAAGAGAGAGAUUUCCGUUUUGUGAUUUUCUCACUUUCUGAGCACCAUGCAAAAGUCAGCCAGGCGUGUCCAGCUCGUUUGCAGACAUUUACAAUUAGGAGCGAAGGUUUCCUCCAAGGUUAGUUUUUCUUAAUGAAACUCUCUCGGAGGCUCCGCGAACUGCUCCACGUUUGGGAUACC